GUGUACCGGGGAUAGCCCUGGCCAAGCCAAACCCAGUCUGCUGCUGGGCCAAGAGGUGGAAGGGGGAUGCUUUGGCCCUUGUGGGCUUCUUUUGAAGUUCUGUGCUUCAUCUCACCCAACUGUGCCUUUCUCCAGGGAAAGAAGGCAAGCUGUGACCCUCAAGUUUGGAGAGCUGGCAAUUGAAAGGCCCAUGCUUUUCAAACAGGAACUUGGCCAUCGAGAAGAUGGGGAAGCGAGGGCCCAAAGGAGGGGAUGUGGCUUUGGCUUCACAACUGCAGCAGGAACCGAGGCCCGCGGCCUUCUGAAGGCUCCGUCACAAAGCGCGGUGGUCGGUCACCGGUUACCACAUAAGCCAAGCCCUUGAUCUGCUGCGUUUGAGGAAAUCCUUUGUUCCUUUCAAGCCUCUAUUCUCUCAGCUGGGGCCAGUGCACAGACCGAAGCAAGUUUAAGCUUCCCAAGGGCAAGGAUUUUUGUCUGUUUUAUUCAUUGCCAGCUCUCCAACAUAUUGAAGAAUGCCUGACUCAAGACAGAAUCCUAUAAAUAUUUGUUCAAUGGGUGAAUGAAUGAUCAACGUAUCUCACUGAACAUAUAAAAAGAUUGUCAGGGAGAUAAAAUUACUCUCCCAAGAGUAACACAGCCAGCAAGGGGGAAUUUUCAAACUACAGAAAAGUGGAGAGAAACCGUACAAUGAUCUCAUUCCCUGCUACCAGCCUCAUCAGUCAGCAACAUGAGUUCCUCCUGUGGGAAGGGGUUUACGGUGUGUGCUGCAGGGAGGUGGUGUGCCCCAGCUUCUCCAGGAACCUCUAGAAAGCCCACCCUGCUCAUCAGAUCCUCUCUAGAACAUGGCUUGCCGGAGGGUGGAGACCUGCCUUACCCAAUGCUCACUUGCACAGUGACUUGCUGGAGCCUGGUGUGUAACUGGAGCUCUAUGAAGAGCUCUUGGAGGGAUGAACCAACUCAUAAUGAAACGAAUCCAUUCCGCAAAUGUAUUAGGAGGCGCUUCUGUGUCAGGUGUUGGGCUAGGCACUGAGGACCCAGACGUGGAGCAAGUGGACCAUGAUGCCUGCCCUUAAGGAGUUUUUCAGCGUGGAUACUAGAAAUCUACAACUGCCUGUGGCUCCCUAAGCGUUGCCGUGGAGACAGGCUGAGCUCUGGGCAGAAAGGCAGAGCCCACAUUUCUGGACACUUGUCAGAAGAUGCUCUAUGAUAGUUGAACGAAUGGAUGAUCAGGGAUGAAUUUUCAUCAAACACCUGUGAAAAAGCUCUUCUGUGUCAGGCCGAAGCCCAGCCCAGCCAAAGCUGUUUCCAGAUGUCAACGUCACGGCCAGUGUAGGGCCAGCAUCGCACCUUCCCUCACUGCACCCAGCACUGCCCCCAAGUCCCUCCUUCACAAAGUGGUUCUUUUGUUUCUCCUCCUGUCCCCACAUCAGGUCCCAGGUUUGUUUCUCCUCCUGUCCCUGCGUCGGGUCCCAGGUGGGGGCCCUGUGUGCAUGCAUGCGUGGAUGGGCGUGCACGCGUGUGUGGUGGUGGGGUGCCUCGUGCACGGUCUCGUCCAGCUCCCCAGACUCCAUCCUGCAGUCUCUUGCUUCUGGGGCCCUCUUGAGUAGGCCACCAACAGCUCUGAGCUUGGCCAUCGUCCUCCCUGGGGGCUCUCCGAGGUCCGCCUCCCCUCUCGUGGCGGAAGUUCAGGCUGCACCUCCGCCACCCUGUCUGGUUUCAGUUCCUCCUUCUCUGGCCAGUGUGGCAAGUCCGCCAUCUGCCUCAAGAGACACCUGGAGGGGACAAACGGCUUCCUCUUCCGGCAGGCAUCCUCGUCCCGAGGAGCUGUCCUUUGGGAGUGCCUUGCUCGGCUGAGGCAGUGAGGGGAGUCCAAACCCGUCUCCCCCAGGCUGAGAGCCCCCCCCACAGUUAGCUGGGCGAACAGAGCCUGGGGAGGUGGGAGGGCUGGGCCCAGCCAGACUUUGCUGCUGUGAACCAGCCCCGAGAACAUACCUGGUCCCAUUCAUUACAGCGAGUACCCACCACGUGCCCAGCACAGCGCGAGGCGCUGGUGACAGCAAUGAAGGAUGGCGGUCGUCGUGGCCAGUCGUUGUGUAUGGGGGCAAGGGACUAGCAUGGAGAGGCGAACCCUAGCAGCUAGGGGACAGAGAGAGGCCAGGGCGUUGGUAGCCGUGUUCGACAUUCGGCUUCCCCUGGCCUGUGGCCUCGGAGUGGAUUCUGGGCCUCGAGAGAAGCCGAGCCGUACGGUGCCGGCCCAGGGAGGCGGCAGGGCAGGGGCUGGUUUCCCUGUCUGUGCACUUACUUGGUUUUAUUUGGCCUUGGACGUCCCAGCUCACUUCACCGACCAACCCAUUCUGUAGACCCAGGAGCCGCCACGGGCUGGCCGGAGCAGGCUCGGCCACGUCUGCUCAGCAUGGAGGAGGCUGUCACCACAUCACAGGGGGCCCUGUGGCUCCAAGCCUGGCGGGAGGGGGCAGGGUCCCCAGCCCCCGCAGGCUCCCCUUCGGAGGACCCCAGUCACCACCCAAGCCAGAGGCAGCAGACACCUCCCCAGCUGCACACUCCGGACCGGAGGCUGUGGGGUUUGGAAGGAGGCCCAUAGUGACCACUUCUGUCCGUGUGGCUCAAGCCGCAGCUCCAGGCCCGGGAGGGUGUGUGUCCAGGAAGAGCACGGCCCGCCCUCGGCUGUCGGGAGACAAGGCAGUGGCUCCUGGGCCCGUGCAGAGCCUUCUCCAGGGUGGGGGCCCAGCACGACCAGGGACCCGGAGCCUCCUCACCAUGGCGGCUCCUCGGGGUCAGGCCCUGACCUCCGUGCUGCCCACCCUCCUGCUGGGACUCACAGCCGGGCAGCCCUUCAUCUCUCUGACGGGCCCGUCUUGGAGGACAACCGUGGGAAACCCGGUGCCUUUCAACUGUACCGCCAGCCCCUUCAGCUCCUGGAACUUCAAUGUCACCUGGAUGAAGGGCAGAGAUGAGCGCCCAGCCUCAGCUCAGCACCCGGUGACUAACAACCCAGGCAACUACUUUGUCACCAGUAAGGUGUGGGUGACACUGACCUUCCAAGACCUCUCACUGGAGAUCACCUGUGAAGUCACCCAUAGGGCACUGGGGGAGCCCCUGUGGAAGACCAUGAACCUCUCCCAAGUGCCCCAGUGGUCCCCACCGCGAAGAUCACCACCAACACCUCUGGGACGUACAUCCAUGCACAUCAGAGAGUGGAUCUCACCUGUCACGCGAGUCACUUGUACCCCUCGCACCUACGUCUCACCUGGAUGGAGAACAGACACAAGGUCCACAUGGUGGAGCCCUCACAGGUCACAAGGAACUCAGAUGGGCCCUACUCUCUGAAGCACACGUGGCAGGCGGAGGCCACGCUGGACGGGAGUGAGUUUGCUUGCUGGGUGGUCCCGGAGGAGGAGCCGCCCCGUCAGGGCCAAGAUCACCUUGUGGGCCCAGGCGCCCAAGCUGGGGAAAGGUGGGCGCGGCCUCUUGUCGGCCCCUCUGGGCAGCAUGGUUGGGAGAGUCAGGCAUGAAAACACCAGCCAGCGGCCGGGGGUGCUGCCUGGUUGGGUCAGGGGCUCAGGGCAGCACUGGAUGAAGGUGAGAAAAGGGAGGAUGCCUUGGGCUGGUGAUAAAACUCUGAGCCAUUCACCCUAAGUUCCCUCCCUCCCUCCUCCCCCCACACCCUCACCAAGAAGGAGCAGGACUUCCCUUCCCCAAUUCCACGCGCUCUUCAGGUAGAAAGUUCUCUGCCUUAACACUUGGCUGCAGGAAAGAGCAGAGAUUAUGGACUGCAGGGCACCAAAGUCUCUUCCAGGAACGUUUUAAAUCAAGACUGGUUCAGCCGGAAGUCUCUGAGAGUCAAUUUUAAAGAGGGCAGAAUUCUCACUUAGCUGGAAAGCAGAGCCUUGACCUGCCUGCUGUAAGAAUUCCUGGGGAAUGAUCCCACUCGCCAUUCAGUUUCUCCAGGUUCUUUUCUGUCGAUGUGCAGCAGAAGUAAGAGAAGCGUUUCCCCGCAGUGGGAUAUACAGAUCUGGGUGGAAAAUUCCACUGGUCUUUUGUCCUCAGAAAAGCAAGUAUCAUUUUUUCUUUCUGACUCACUCUGAAUUUUUUCCUCUCUCUGUCUUAAUCUUUCUUCCUUUUCUGGCAUUCAGGGCCCCUUCUGUUUGGGGAGAGUGCACCUGUAGAGUGUACCUCCCACUCUGGCCCACAGAGCCCUUCUUCGGUAUCCCCACCUUGGGCUUCUGUUCGUGUUUGGCUGACACCUGUAGGGCACUUACCGUGUCCCAGUCAUGCUCGCAUUGCCUGGCUGACAUGGGACAGGAGGGGCCGAGGUCUGAGAGGUCUGAGCUGGGGUCAAAAGCCAAUUCAGGCCGAUUUCAGACUGUCUGCAAAUUGAAUGUGCUCUUUUGUACUUUUCUUCCCCAUCCUGCGGCAGAAUACAGACCUCGGUGUCAACUCACGUCUAUUCUCAAA